UGCUUCUUCUUCUGCUUGAAAUAUCCUUGCUUGAAAGUUCUUGAAUGAAAACACAGGCAAUGACGAACACAAACAUAAAUAAUAACUGUGCCAAUCAUCACAAGUACCAUUUGAUUGUGGUGUCUUAACCAUAUUUUUUCCUAUGGCGUUUGGAUAAAUACCUACACACCUCUCUUCACAUCCAGCACACUCCUGAUUCACAGAUAAACACAAUAUCACUGCUGUAUCUACCAAUUUAACCCAAACACUCGUUAUUACUGCUGUAUUUAACCAAUUUAAUCUAAACACUCGUUAUCACUGCUGUAUUUAACCAAUUUAAUCUAAACAUUAACCAAAACAAUUACAUUCCUAUUUACCACCCUUCUAUUUAAACAUGUAUAGAUAACCCAAAAUGCCUACUUUCUCU